CUAAGUAUAGCGGAUCAAUUUGUUGAGAAACAUGUGAUUAGUGAUUCCUUCUCCUUGUGUUUUGGAGGAAUGGAUUUCGAUGGUGGUACAAUGGUUCUUGGAGGAAUAAACCCUCCUUCUAAGAUGGUUUUUACCCAUUCUUAUCCUCUACGCAGAAAUUUGUUUUAUGCAGUUAGAUGAACUAAUGGAUCAAGCUACUCUUUAGCGUUCUCUGAAUUCUUGGACCUUGAACGCCCUUCUCUGCACCUGAGGCAGUGGAUUAAAGCAAUUAAAAGUAUGAUCUUGUUCUUUGGCCAGAAGUGUACUUGGAGUUGGCAUUGAUCUUAUGUGAUUGUGACUCUGUUUUGCCAGAAUUAGGGAAUGGAGGUGAUCAAAUUUGAAGGGUCGCCACAAGUCAAUUUGAUCUCAUUGAAGUGUAUGAUGAAAAGUUUUUGAACUAUUGUAAAAGUUUGA